GACGGAGGAUGCAAGCGUUAUCCGGAAUGAUUGGGCGUAAAGCGUCCGCAGGUGGCAGUUCAAGUCUGCUGUCAAAGACCGGGGCUUAACUUCGGAAAGGCAGUGGAAACUGAACAGCUAGAGUAUGGUAGGGGCAGAGGGAAUUCCUGGUGUAGCGGUGAAAUGCGUAGAGAUCAGGAAGAACAUCGGUGGCGAAGGCGGUUCUCUGGGCCUGUACUGACGCUGAGGAGCGAAAGCGUGGGGAGCAAACAGG
rnacentral:rRNA from 1 species